GAUGAACGCUGGCGGCGUGCUUAACACAUGCAAGUCGAACGGUGAACGAGGGAGCUUGCUCCCUCCGGAUCAGUGGCGAACGGGUGAGUAACACGUGAGCAAUCUGCCCUGGACUCUGGGAUAAGCGUUGGAAACGACGUCUAAUACCGGAUACGAGGCGUGGGGGCAUCCCCAACGCCUGGAAAGAACUUCGGUCCAGGAUGAGCUCGCGGCCUAUCAGCUAGUUGGUGAGGUAACGGCUCACCAAGGCGACGACGGGUAGCCGGCCUGAGAGGGUGACCGGCCACACUGGGACUGAGACACGGCCCAGACUCGUACGGGAGGCAGCAGUGGGGAAUAUUGCACAAUGGGCGCAAGCCUGAUGCAGGAACGCCGCGUGAGGGACGACGGCCUUCGGGUUGUAAACCUCUUUUAGCAGGGAAGAAGCGGAAGUGACGGUACCUGCAGAAAAAGCACCGGCUAACUACGUGCCAGCAGCCGCCGUAAGAC
rnacentral:rRNA from 1 species